rnacentral:rRNA from 1 species
AGAGUUUGAUCCUGGCUCAGGAUGAACGCUAGCUACAGGCUUAACACAUGCAAGUCGAGGGGAAACGACAUCGAAAGCUUGCUUUUGAUGGGCGUCGACCGGCGCACGGGUGAGUAACGCGUAUCCAACCUGCCCACCACUUGGGGAUAACCUUGCGGAAGUAAGACUAAUACCCAAUGACGUCUCUAGAAGACAUCUGAAAGAGAUUAAAGAUUUAUCGGUGAUGGAUGGGGGUGCGUCUGAUUAGCUUGUUGGCGGGUAACGGCCACAAGGCGACGAUCAGUAGGGGUUCUGAGAGGAAGGUCCCCCACAUUGGAACUGAGACACGGUCCAAACUCCUACGGGAGGCA